rnacentral:pre_miRNA from 1 species
GUCCAUCCCACCUGACACUUGUCUCAACCUCUAUGACAGCAGGUGAGCAAAGUCUCAGGUGUGGCGGCCC